rnacentral:rRNA from 1 species
GCAUAUCAAUAAGCGGAGGAAAAGAAACCAACAGGGAUUGCCCCAGUAACGGCGAGUGAAGCGGCAACAGCUCAAAUUUGAAAUCUGGCUUCGGCCCGAGUUGUAAUUUGCAGAGGAAGCUUUAGGCGCGGCACCAUCUGAGUCCCCUGGAACGGGGCGCCACAGAGGGUGAGAGCCCCGUAUAGAUGGACGCCUAGCCUGUGUAAAGCUCCUUCGACGAGUCGAGUAGUUUGGGAAUGCUGCUCUAAAUGGGAGGUAAAUUUCUUCUAAAGCUAAAUACCGGCCAGAGACCGAUAGCGCACAAGUAGAGUGAUCGAAAGAUGAAAAGCACUUUGAAAAGAGGGUUAAAUAGCACGUGAAAUUGUUGAAAGGGAAGCGCUUGUGACCAGACUUGCGCCGGGCGGAUCAUCCGGUGUUCUCACCGGUGCACUCCGCCCGGCUCAGGCCAGCAUCGGUUCUCGUGGGGGGACAAAGGUCCCGGGAACGUAGCUCCUCCGGGAGUGUUAUAGCCCGGGGCGUAAUGCCCUCGCGGGGACCGAGGACCGCGCUUCGGCAAGGAUG